rnacentral:rRNA from 1 species
UACGGGGGGGGCAAGCGUUGUUCGGAAUUACUGGGCGUAAAGGGCUCGUAGGCGGCCAACUAAGUCGGAUGUGAAAUCCCCAAGCUUAACUUGGGAACUGCAUCCGAUACUGGAUGGCUUGAAUCCAGGAGAGGGAUGCAGAAUUCCAGGUGUAGCGGUGAAAUGCGUAGAUAUCUGGAGGAACACCGGUGGCGAAGGCGGCAUCCUGGACCGGUAUUGACGCUGAGGCGCGAAAGCCAGGGGAGCAAACGGG